rnacentral:rRNA from 1 species
AUGGCUAAACCAAUUGUUAGAGAUCUUGCCCACAUAGAGGGCUCUCCUGCCCCUGGUCAUCUCCUCGUGUUCGACAGUGUACUAUUACGCGCCGAUCGCACUGGCCACCCCGACAAGAUCGAAGGCUUUGCUCCCGUAAAGGAGCUCACUGGCCCGAAGGUAUCAACCCUAAGGCCAAUUAACUUGCAAGGAUCAAGCAUCCCUCAAAGCCCAGCCCUAGAGCCGGGCUCCGGUAGAUUGCCCGCUAAAUCCCCUUCCGAAUUGUCGGAGUGUUCGACACCUCCCCGUGCCCAGUCGAUAGACCACUUAAUAAACCUAUACCGUGCGAUGGGGAUCUCUGUUACCAGGUCUAUGGCCUACGAUAAGAUCGGGCUUAAAACCGACGACUGUGAAAUCAACACCCCUCCGGUCACGCACCUCAUCGCCACCGUCGAAGAAGCCCAGGAGGGACCACAACCUCAUAAGCUGAGGACGAUAUAUACUCGAGUAUCUAGCUCAGAUUCAGAUACCAACCCGAAGGCACAUCCGGAGUCGGACCUCGGUGCAGAAUCUAGCCUUGAGCUAAUUCGGCUGCACGAAAGUCCAGAUCCGGGUCGGGCGCGGUCCAAAUCGGACAUAGCACAACCGACCAUCAAGGACGGCCACGGCCCGCGCCAGACGCGCACUAGUCCGGAUCCGAACCACGCAAGGUUAGAGCCAGAUGUAACUCAACGACCCAUCAAGGAUAGCCCGGGUCCGCGGCAGGAGGGGAUCCUCAAAAUUUUCCCAUCCUCCCACCACGCGGAAUACUCUCCGGAUUCAAGAAGCCCAGAUAUAUGGGACCUCAUGUAUGUCAAACAGCUACCAAACGAGACAACCCACCACUAUUGGGCUAGAUUUCUCCUGGUAAAGAACAGGAUGGCGUCUUGCUGUGACAAAGAAAUAGUCAAAGCCUUCCAGUUUAACUGCAGGGAUGAGGGCCUCCUAAACGCCCUCGCGCGUUGCCGAAUUCAAUGCUUCACCAAACUAUUGGACAUGGUACGCAAAUAUUGCGCCAUGGAGAACACAUGGAGAGCGCAACAGAUGAACAUAGAGCCAAACCCCGCUGCACACCACGGAAGGCCUCGCUUUAAACGGGCUUACACAAACGGUCACCGGAGCAUGAGCCUAAUGAAAAGAAAACCAGACCUAGAUCGGUGUUAG